rnacentral:rRNA from 1 species
CCCGCUGAACUUAAGCAUAUCAAUAAGCGGAGGAAAAGAAACUAACAAGGAUUCCCCUAGUAACGGCGAGUGAAGCGGGAUGAGCUCAAAUUUAAAAUCUGGCGGUCUAAGACCGUCCGAGUUGUAGUCUAGAGAAGUGUUUUCCGCGCUGGACCGUGUACAAGUCCCUUGGAACAGGGCGUCAUAGAGGGUGAGAAUCCCGUCUUUGACACGGACUCCCAGUGCUAUGUGAUGCACUCUCGAAGAGUCGAGUUGUUUGGGAAUGCAGCUCAAAUUGGGUGGUAAAUUCCAUCUAAAGCUAAAUAUUGGCGAAAGACCGAUAGCGAACAAGUACCGUGAGGGAAAGAUGAAAAGCACUUUGGAAAGAGAGUUAAACAGUACGUGAAAUUGUUGAAAGGGAAACGCUUGAAGUCAGUCGCGUCUUAUGGAACUCAGCUGGGCUUGCCCAGUGCACUUUCUGUUUGACGGGCCAGCAUCAAUUUCGGCCGUUGGAAAAAGGCAGAGGGAAUGUGGCACCUCCGGGUGUGUUAUAGCCCCUUGUCAUAUGCAUCGGUUGGGAUUGAGGACUGCAGCACGCCUUUAUGGCCGGGGUUCGCCCACGUAACGUGCUUAGGAUGCUGGCAUAAUGGCUUUAAGCGACCCGUCUUGAAACACGG